rnacentral:misc_RNA from 1 species
GAUGAAGAACGUAGCGAAAUUCGAUACUUGGUGUGAAUUGCAGAAUCCCGUGAACCAUCGAGUCUUUGAACGCAAGUUGCGCCUCAAGCCAUUAGGUUGAGGGCACGUCUGCCUGGGCGUCACAUAUCGUUGCCUGAUGCCAGUUUCCUCGUGAUGGGUGACUGUGCAGGGCGAAUGAUGGCUUCCCGUGAGCAUUGUUGCCUCAUGGUUGGUUGAAAAUUGAGUCCUUGGUAGGGAGCGCCGUGAUAGAUGGUGGUUGAGUGACGAACGAGACCCAAUCAUGUGAGACCCCUACCGAAUUUGGCCUUCAUGACCCACAUGCGUCUUUGGAACGCUCAUGACGAGACCUCAGGUCAGGCGGGGCUACCCGCUGAGUUUAAGCAUAUCAAUAAGCGGAGGA